UGGAUAAAUCUAUUUUGUACUUUUUUACCUUUAUUUUAAAUUUUUGAAUUUUUAAUCACCGCUAAUGUUAAUGGUAUAAAGUAUUUCAGCAAUUUUUACAAGCUUAGUGGUUAAGUUAUUCUUUUGUAUGAUUUUAAUUUAAAAGGCAGCCUGUGUUGCACUUGGCUAUGCUAAAAUUGUAGAUUGGAAUUUUUUGACACCUCAUUUAUUAUGACCGCCGCCAUUCCAGCCACAGCUGUUGGAAUUAUUUUAUAAUUAGAUAUUUUUUCUUUCAUUUGCCUUCUUCAACGAAUUGCUGAUGAGUAAACAAUUAGUAACAUAUGAAAUACAUUUCGUAGCUGCACACGAUUCGCCGCGGGAUAUUCCACAACGCACAAGUAUCAAAUGUACAUAACUACCCAUAUACAUAUGUAUGUACUCAUAUGAGUAAAUCCUCUUGUAUCCGCAUAAAUUUUAUUUCAAUGACAACAAUGACAAAUUUGACGUGCCAAAACUUUUGAGCUGAGUCAAUAGUUAAAUUAUGGAAAUAAAAACAAAAAUUACAUGUGUAUAUACAAACAGUCAUUGAUACACAUCAGCGGUGUGAGAGGCGUGUGUUGCAUUUAAAUUUAUAGCCUGAAACAGUGAAAUAGUAAUGGGUAUUUAUAAUAAUAAUAAUAAUGAUGGAGCACAAAUAACCAUGAAAGGUUUCAAUCAAACGUGCCAAGCAAUUGUCACCUUUCCUGUUGCAGUGCUCCGGAGGUGGUAAAAAACAAAGCCUGCAACCAUAAAAUUCGCGCUGAGAGCAAAAAUUCGUGUAUAUUCAUUGGCGACUGCCGGCGUUAGUAAUUCAUAAUUAUAUCAUGCAAAAUUGUAAAUUCCAUAUGAAACCAUGUGUUUUUUUUGUGGGGGAGUAUAAGUUGAUCUGAUUUAUAUGGCGAUAGUUUAUGGGGUGCUUGUAAAGUUUAGCUUGCCUUUAGACACAUUUACAUACGUGUAUGUAUUUAAUUUAAUAAUUGUAAGCUUGCAACAACUGGUCUUUAAGGAAAUAGAUAGAGUGCUGCAAAAACUAACAAACAAUGAAAUGUGAGCAAGGCAAACAAUAUUUUUUUUUUUUACUUAAGAGCAAGGAAAACAAAACAAGUAAGAAAGCGCUAAGUUCGGGUGUAACCGAACAUUUGAUACUCUUGCAGAAUAAAGGCGGAGGAACUUCUUCAGGCUUUGGCAAAAUUUUAUAGCAAUUAAGGAAAGUAUCGUCGUGAUUUCAUUCUUUAAAGGAAAGAGGAUACACUGUUAUUAGAAAGGGAUUAUUUCUGAAUUGCAUUAAGAUUUCUUAUAUAUUGACCGAUAGAUGCGGUAUAAAGUGAAUGGAGUCAACCGUAGGUUCGAAAAUACUUAUGUUAGGUAUAUGGGGGCUAAGGGAAGUAUUGACCUGCUUUUACUUAGUUUUGGCACAAGUUUUAGUGCGAUUUCGACAAUUUUUGGACGAAAGAUAAAAUAUCUUGGGAGCACUAUUUGUGCAAAGCUUUAUUCUGAUAACUUUAUUGAUGUUUGAUUGGUAUACUGUAAAAAGAAAGAAUUUGCUGGAAGUUUAAAGUUUGUUAUAUGCGAAUUAGGCGUGAUUUUCAUCCGAUUUCUGACCUGGAUGUGAAAUUUAAUGCUUGUGGCUUAUUUAUGCAAGUUUGACACUCGGACAGGCAGAUCGACAGAUGGGCGGACAGACCAACUUUCAACUCGGCUCUUCAUCCUGAUAUUUUUAAUAUACAAAUAUAACUCAAUAUCUCUCACGACUAGUUUUAGGUGAUACAAACAACCGUUAGGUGAAUAAAACUAUUAUACGCUGUGGCAACAUAUUGCAAGAGUAUUAAAGUUGCCUUCUAGUUUGAAAUCUUACGUCGUUAGCCCAAAUUGCGGGGUUUACCAAAAAAAUAAUCAACGGCAGCAGCGGCAGACAGGCGGAAUGGUAACAAACGCGUAUAGGCUAAGAACCAAGGUUACAACAAAUGCAUUAAAAACACAAUUGGAAUAAAAUUUAAAUAAUUUUUUAUUUAUUUUGUAAACCCAAAAAUCGUAGUAAAAAAAUUCAAUUUCGGGAUGCCUCGUUUACAGCAGUUACUACAUUAACAGGUAUAUGAAAUAAAAAACAGAUUUAAAUUUAGUGAGGACUUUUUUACAUUUUUUGAGAAAAUUUGCUUAGUAAUGUAUUUAUUUUUUAUACCAUCAAAAAACAGCAAUUUCAAGAAGAAAAUGUUUUUAUUUUAAAAACAAAAAGUAAUGUUGACCGGAGAAUUUUCGAUUGAAAGUUAGGGUGAUUUUCCGAUGUUAUGUUAAAAUAAUGUGAAAAAUAAAUAUUUUAAAUCGAAAAAGUUACAGUGUAUUUGCGACAGAAAACGAUUAGUUUACACCAAACUUCGUGAAAGGAAAUGUUUUUUGUAAAAGCUAAAAAUAAAAAAAAAAAUAAA